GUUUAAAGCCUUUUACCUCCGGGUGGGCGGGAAAGAGUAAAGUUUCUCAUCCUCUUCUUUCAUUUUCCCCCUGCCCGUAGAACAGAUGGACAAACUAAGCUCGGGGACAUUGAUUACCAUUAAAGAAAACGUUAGGCUUUUAACUCCAGAUGUCUUGCAGCCCUCCAUUUGAGUAGCCCCUUGCCCGGAGAACAAGCUCCUUUCCCUCUGCUCAGAUUCCCUGUGAAAUGAGGUUGGACUAGGCAUGGGGUCCGGGUGAAAAAUCCCCACACACACCCGGCCCAAGAUUCUGAAUUUUCCUGAGAGCAUAAUCCUGGAUUUUCUCCGCUGCUCCCACCGGAGCACACCUCCAAGGGCCACCAGGUGGCGCGCGGCCACCGGCCUCUGGGCCUGCUAGGCUGUCUUUCAGCGACGCCCUCAGGAAAGUACUCUUUGCAGCUACUGACCAGGGUCUGAGCCCUACCUGGCCUGCUUGAGGACAAAGAACAAGAAUACUGGUGCUUCCCCCGCCUCUCUGCUGGAUUGUGCCGCAGCUUCCUCACUGGCGGCUCAUUUCCCGCCCUCCCCUUGGCGUCCCUCCCCUUCCCUCCACUCCAUCGCCCCGCCAGUUCUUUAGCUCCUCUGUGUGAUUCCUUACGUUUAAAUCCUUGUCCUGGCGUUUGCAUUCCUUCCUGUUCUGACCCCGUCUACAUUUCUUAUCGCACCCCUUCCCUCACCUGCUACGCAAGUUUUGCAACGCUUUCCUAGUACUUGGGGGGUUACCAACAUUGUGCUUCAUUCUUUAUCCUUUAUCUGUGUUGACUACUGUUCUGAGAGAUUUACAUUAACAUUUUGUUGCCUAAACCUCAGGGUCUCUCAAGGAGGUAGCCUAGCUAUUGCCCUUAUCAUACACUGAUGAAAUCCCCUAGAGGUAAGAUUCCAACCCCAGCUGGUCAGAAAGCUGGAAUGCUGAUUUCACCCAUCCCACUUCCAAUGCUUUUUCAUCUUUAUAGGUUGUUAAAAUACUUCUUCAGUGGCACCUUCCUUAAUACUUCCAACCAAGGAACAACUAGUUCUCCUCUAUAUUACCGCAAGGGUCUGUUGAACUCUGUGCAGACUGUAAGAAAUGGUCUCAGUGAUGGCUUCCUCACCACCAUUUCUGAGCUCCCCCAAGGGCAGGGAGCAAUGCUGGCCUCUCCUACAAGGAGAGGAGAUUCUGUAGCAUUGGGGGAAAGAAGAAACAGAAGAGAUGGAUCCUCUGCGCUAUUCCCUCAGCUCUGCCUUCUAAAAUAUAUCAGAAUUUUCCCAUCUAUCACAGGCUUCUGAACCUCCCAAAAGCCUUCCCAGAUCCUCCUGACUACUCAAAGCUCUUUAUUAUCUCAUCAUUGUAAC
rnacentral:lncRNA from 1 species